UCUUUCUCUUUCUCUCUAUCUCUCUCUCUCUCUCUAUCGCUCCCUGUAGUUUUCUCUGUCUGGCUCCGGGUCUGUCCUCUUUCCUCUUUCUCUCUUUUCAUCAUUCUAUCUUUUGUUCUUCCUGCUCACUCUUUGUCUGUUCCCCUCUUUCUCUCGUGUCUCUCUCAGUUAAUCUGUCUGUCUGUCUUUUAGUAACACUGUCUUUUUUCUCGUCCUACUUUGCCUCUUGUUUGCCCAAUCUUCCUUCCACGUCCCUGUGCACUUUUUUCUUGUCUUUUUCAUUUGAGAAUGUUUUUCGCUCUUCUGUUUUCGCUCUCCAUUAUGAUGUUGUCUUGUUUAUGCGUUCUUUAACUCUUCAGCCUGCUGUCUUGUUGUUUUAUCAAGUCUGUCUCUCCUUCUCUCGCUCUGUGUAUGUGGCACAUUGAGUUCAGUGCUGCAGGUGCUUUUAAGAGGACAGACAUAAAUAUUCUUAAACUCAAUCUCUCUAUGCUCGUGAAAUGAUACUGACAUGCUUGCUAUUAAAGCAGUGCCGCAGCGUCCAUAUAAUGACCGGCGGCGUUGAUCAUGUAUGAUUUAUACGGUGCAUUCCCACACAAAGGCUUAGGGCCUCCAUACUAUCUUUACUCCUCCUGAGUGAAGGACUUUGCAGAGUCUCACCUCUUCAUUGGCUGACAGAUGAGGUGACAGACAGACCCCCAGGUAGAUGUUUGUUUCAGUUGAUGGCAGAUGACACCGUCUGAACCUUUUAUAGAUAUACUCACUGAAUCGAAGCACAUUUCCUCUCAAGAUUUUCAAGAGAGAUUUCAAGAUUUGUUCAUUUGUCAUGUGCAUGUUAAACAAGGUCAACAAUGCAAUGAAAUGCCUUGGAUGAGAGGACCACUUGACUUGAAGGAGUACAGAAUAAAAACACACAAGUAUGAACAAGUGAAUAAGUGAAAUGAAUAAGUACUGAGAGGAAUACAAUCAAUAAGGAGAAAUAAAAGUGUAAGAGAAAUAUUUACAAAGUGCACAAACGAUGAAAUGGAGGAUAAGUCGGUGGGAUAAAUGAGGUAUGAAAAUUGCCAUAUUGCACAUGAUAAAUAAUGGUGAACGAAUUGCUGUAUUGCACAUGGUAUUGUAAAACAUCGAUAAUAUUGUACAGAGUAUUGUUCGGUGGUACUGUCAGGAGUGUAGAAAAUGAAUUUCCUCUCGUCUUUUACACAGAACUACCAUCUCAGUGCCUUUUCAUACAAACACCUCAGUUAACAUGAAAUGAGUCAGCAUUCUGGAUAACUGAUAACUGUCAACAAAGCAAUGAUUGAACAAAAGAGCAAAGCAUUAUUAUGGGUUUAUAUUAACGUAAAUUUAAUGCAGUUUCCCCCAAAUCGUACACUGCAAAAACAGCCCUACUAGAAAGAAGCAAAAUGUUCUUAUACUCCAUCAAAUAAUCUUGUAUCAAACUAAAAAUCUGCCAAUAGGGUAAGCUUUUUUUGCUUGACAAUAAUUCUCAAAAUAAGAACAAUUUUCUUGGCCCCGACAGACUCAAAUGAAACUUAAAACUAGACAGAAAAUCUUACAUUAAUAUAAUUUUUCCUACAGCAAGUGAUGAAAAAUGAAAAUGAAGUUACUUCAAAUUAGAAUUUUGGUCUCUUGAAUAAAUGAACUUCAUGAAAAUACACCUUAAUCUAGGUUUAUUAAUAAGCCUGACAGUAGUUCAAAUAAGACAUCAUUUCUUAAAACAGCAUAGCAAAUAUAAGUGAUGCUGUCUUAAAUCAAGAAACCAAAACAUUCUCAUUAAUAAAUAUGUAAUUUUUGUUCCACAAGCAAGCAUGUGGAAAGCAAGCGUGUUCUUUGUUGUUCUUUGUUGUUUUGCAGUUUUCAUCUGUAUUAUGUCGUGUGUUGUACAGACUAGUUUACUGACAUCUUUAUAUGUCAGAUAAUGUUUGAGGCAGCAGAUUCUGUCAGGUUCAGAUGACCUGCAAUAGAAAUCUUAAUAAAACAAAAAUCAGCUGUUCUUGUUUCGUGGCAUUCUUAAAUUCAGAAGUUGUACGUUUGUCUUACUCUUAAAAUGAGACGAAUGAUCUUGUUGCUCUGCUGGAUUUUAUUGUAAAACAUUUUUUUACUCUGUUUCUGGUUCAUUCUUUCUCAAAAUUAGCUGGAAUAUCUUAUCAAGAAAAAGUUAGCCAUUUUCUCUUAAAAUUAGAUAAUUUUUCUAACGUCAAACAUGCUUGACAAUAUUAAUAGUCUUUUUGUACAAAAAUUAGACUUGUUUCCUUAAUACAAGGCUGUUUUACUUUCUUGAACUUCCUUUUUUGCAGUGUAGGAAACUGUGGGAUGGUCUCCUUUGGAUAAAUUUUAAAAUCAGUAAAUUUAGCAACACCAUUUAAUCCAAAUUACAUACUACCUAAUAUGAAAGUAAUUCAAAGUUUACAUGCUUGAUUAAAUUUGAAUACUUAUCUAAGACUGACUGCAUACCACAACAUUUUUUACUAUAGAGUGAACUGUUGUGCACAUUUGCGGAUGUAUUUAGGUGAAAACUGGUUAUAAUAUUCAUAAUCCAUUGAGAUGUCGGAUUUUGUGGGGAAUAUUUUGUUCAAAAUUUCAGAUACCUGUAGCUCCAUAGCAUGUAAAAAACCCACAUAAAGAGCUGAAACAUUAAACUAAAUGUGUUAUUGAAAACAGUUGUAAUAAGACGUAUCUGUUUUAGCGUUUUAUCUGUGAGGCUGUGUUCUCUUUGUGUCGAGGCAAUCUAAACAAAAAUCAGCUUUCGGUUCACAGUGUCUGGACAUUUCACGAGCUUUUUCUUUGACUGAUUUCAAACGGAUUUAACUACACCAACUAUUUUAGUUUAGGAAAAUCUCCAAAUUGGAUUUACAGAAUUUGA